rnacentral:rRNA from 1 species
GAAGAACGCUGGCGGCGUGCUUAACAAAUGCAAGUCGAAAGGAGUGGCGAACGGGUGAGUAACACGUGGGUGAUCUGCCUUGCACUUCGGGAUAAGCUUGGGAAACUGGGUCUAAUCACGGAUAUUGCAAGAUGAGCUCGCGGCCUAUCAGCUUUUUGGUGGGGUAAUGGCAUCCCAAUGCGUCGUCUGGUAGCCGGCCUGAGAGGGUGUACGGCCACAUUGGUACUGAGGUACGGCCCAGACUCCUACGGGAGGCAGCAGUGGGGAAUAUUGCACAAUGUUCGGAAGCCUGAUGCAGCGACGCCGCGUGGGGGAUGAAGGCCUUCGGGUUGUAAACUCCUUUCGACAGGGACGCGGUACCUGUAUAAGAAGCACCGGCUAACUACGUGCCAGCAGCCGCGGUAAUAC